rnacentral:misc_RNA from 1 species
CUGAAUUGUCGACACGAGUUGUUGCUGGUCCUCAAACGGGGGCAUGUGCACGCUCUGUUUACACAUCCACUCACACCUGUGCACCCUCUGUAGUUCUGUGGCAUGGGGGACCCUGUCCUCCUGUUGUGGUUCUACGUCUUUACACACACUCUGUAACAAAGUCUCAUGGAAUGUGUGCCGCGUUUAACGCAAUACAAUA